UGACCAGCGGAGGGAUCAUUAG
rnacentral:rRNA from 1 species